rnacentral:lncRNA from 1 species
GUGAACCCCAAAACAAAGUGUGGCAUUUCCGAACGUUGUGCACAGACUCAACACUCUUAACCUCUUAAGAGAUGGUUAAAGUAACAGGGAUAAAUUAAUCAUAAAUCCUUGUAUUACUAUCAUAGUUGAUCCUAUUUGCUUUUUUAUUCUAAGUGACCCAUAUUAAACUUGAAAACUGUGUCCUCCUUUCUUGCAGGGCAUAUUUCAAAACACUCAGAAAUUCCUAGGCCCCAUUUCAAGAAGCCAGUCAUAUAAGAGAGCUCUUUUGGAUGCUGAAGACUCUUGAACACCACGGACAGAUUUCUCAAUCAGAUCUAAGACCAAUUCUUUCAAGCGCUCAGAUUGCUUGCUGCUAUGGGACAAACCUGCAUUUCAGCACAAGAGAUUGAUUGCAGUAUCUCUCUCAUGCUUUGAAUAUGACUAAUGAGGAGGCUGCCCAAUUUUAAUGUCAGAUGGGAGCAAUAAUCAAUCUAAGAGCCAUCAGGACAACUCACAGUUCAGGAAGAGUGGGCUGGAAGAAAUCAUCAGCAAAACUGCUUGAUCAAGUCCUGAAAAAGAGGAUGAGAACACUGCUGCUAGAUUCCAGGAAGAAACACAAGGAGUCAUUUCUUGAAAAGAGGAGGAACAAAAGGUAAGUCAGAAGAUGAUGACAG